ensembl:lncRNA
CAAUUUGCUACUUGUAUAAAAGACAAAAUUGUAAAAGUAAUUUUUUUAUAAAGAAAAAUAGAUUAAAUGUGUUUCUUUCUGUCUACACUCCGUAGCCAGAUUAUUUGCUACACCCAUUUGCCUCCAGAUCAGCAUGACUUAUUGGGGUAUGGAAUUUUCUGUUUCCAGAAACAUUCAACAGGGAUAUUUUUCCUUCCAGACACGUUGGCAUCAGAAGGUCGCCACGCAUUAAGUGGCAGUAUAUUCAUGCUGCAAGUAACAUUUCUAUUUCAUUCCAAAUAUGCUCUAUUGGGCUGAGGUCUGGGGACUGUUCUGGCUACACAAGUAAACAGAACUCGCUGUCAUGUUCCUGGAACCAUUCUCAGAAAAUACCUGCACGGCGCAUUAUCCUGCUGGAAGGAUCCCUCUGACAGACUGUAGCCAUGAAGGGAUGCACCUGGCCAGUAACAAUGUUCAUGGACGCUGUGGUGUUUGAAUGUUACGCAGUUGGUAUCAAGGGACUGAACGUGUGGAAAACAUUACCCACACCAUUACAUCACCACCACCAGCCUGUGCUGUGGACUCCAGGCAGGAUAGAUCUAUGGACUCAAGCUGCUUGUGCCAAAUCCUGACCCCACCAUCUGCAUAAAGCAGCUGGAACCUGGAGUUGUUUUUCAGUUGUACAUAGUUGCUUAUCCCUUGCCUACUGGAGUGCUUCUACAUACUUUUUUUUUUUUUAGCUGAUAGGAGUUUAGCUUGAUGUGGUCGUCCUUUGCAACAGCCCAUCUGUGACACCGAGCGAUGAAUUGUGUGUUCCGACAUGCUGUUCUGCACGCUGCUUUGGUACUGUGGUGUUAUUAUUGCACUGGGUUGUGGCCUGCUGUUAGUUUAAAUGAUUCUUGCCAUUCUUCUUAGACCUCUGUCAUCAGUGAGCCAUUUAGCUCACAGGACUGCCACUGACUGGAUGCACUGUUUGACCGUGUUCAGGAAGGUGGCCAUUUCAUCCCUCCAAAAAAUCACUGAUAGUUUUGUUCAUUCCUAUGUUCAAACCAUAACUGGUGCCUCAGACCUUUUGGUGCUUGUGGGGGUGUACCGAAUAAACUGGCUACUUAGUGAAUGUGGUAGUAAUGAGUGUAGAUCUGUUUUCCCUCCCCUUUUCUUUUACAAAGUCCCCCUAUGUCAUGUCUUUUUGUUGAUAAUAAAACAUUGACUUAUUUCUGAAACGUGUCUGUGCCUGUGGUUUUGGUAGGAUACUUUGACAUCAGUGGUUC